rnacentral:lncRNA from 1 species
GUGAGUCCGCUCCCCACUGCAGGGUCCGUGGUGGACCCCAUUUCGUCUCAAGGCCUGCCUCUGGGAGCCAUUCCGGUCUCCAAGCCUCCGCUGGGAGCGAAUUCUAAGAAUUGGCCAAAGGAAAAGCCCUGCAAAGGCUCGUAGCGUCCCAAGUCCUCGAGAGGAAUGCCUCAUUUCAACAUCUCAGCAAGUCUGGGAGGCCAUCCUCACCAUUUCAUAGGUGGGGCCGGUAAGGCGCGGGAAGGUGAGGUCACUUGCUGAAGUCUCACAACGGCGCGGGAGAGCAGGGAGAGCAGGUUCCUUGAGCGAGGGAAUGUUCCAGGGGGGUGGGAGGGAAGGGACAGCUGCAAGGACUGCCCAGGUGGCCAGGGUACCCGCAGCGCGGAUAUGCCGAGAAGGCGCGCCCGCCAAGCCGCGGCGCAGCCCACGACGUCCAGCCUUACCACUCUGGAACCACCACCCCGGUCCCUCAGAGACAGAGGAAGGAUGCGAGGGGAAGUCUAGGCUCAUCUUGGCACUGCUUCCCCCAACUGCCAGGGAAGAGAGGCUUGAGCAGGCACCUGUCAUCUGUCUGCCAUAGCUCCAUCAAAGAGUAAUGUCUGGCCUGACCCCAAUGCCCAUCCAGGAUGACUGGAGGUGCUGCCCCAAGCACCAUCCUCUCCGAGUGCUCGGGGCUUCCCAAGAAUGUAACUAUGGUCGCAUAGCAAAAGUGAGCAAGGCUGCAGUGCAGCAGCCCAGAGAAAACACAACUGAACCUCAUCAAUCAAUUUCCAUCCCACCACCUUGACUUGACUGCAGGCUGCCUGGGAACCCCACACUUCUCCUCUCUUUCCAGAAGAAGCGGUCUCAGCGGAGUUGUUUCCUAACGUAGCACAUUUGUUGCAGACAGCUACAGAGAGCAAAAAUAUGCUAUGGGCCAUCCACUUAAAGGAAACAGGCACGGGUAUUGCUCAACCUGCCGAGUUCAGCCCUGGCUCAUGAACUCAGUUCCAUGCACUGCGUCUGCACUGGGGAUCCAUGUGCAGAGGGGCCAGAUCAAAACCCCGGACUCUGAAUACAUGAUGAGACAACUGAGGCUCCGAGAGGUGAAGUCCUGUGUCUGGACUGGGCUGUGUGUUGGCGUGUGCCUUCCCACAAAUCCUGUGACCCACCUCACCACUCCAUGCUGCCCCAGAAACAUGGGGCAAUGAUUUGUACAGGAAUCCCAGCAAGCAGAGCUUCUUCUAGAACUAACCAGGAGCUCGGUGUCUUCCUCAGACACUCAUAGUCCUCUCGAGCAAUUCCCCAGGCUGGACUCUGACUCAAGCUUCAGACAUUAAGCACCUUUGAAAGGCUGGAAAGUCACAGUCUACUCAUAUGUCACCAGAAGGCCUGGGCAAAAAAAGGAGGUAGAGAAAUAACCCCGGGAAUGAAGCAGGGGUUCUGCCCUCCCAGGGCCUGAGAAUUAAAAACUGUUUCAAAUCCUUGUUUCGUUCCUCUAGGAAAAAUUAAAGAAUUAAGCGAGGGCCUGGAAAACAAGGCUAGCAGGAAGUCGGAGGAACUGACAAACAACUGGGAAGAUGAAGCUACCGAGGAUGGGCUGCAGGAGCCAAGAAGUUAGAAUCUGCAAGCCUGCGCCGAGUGCUCCAGUCAGCCAGCACUAGAUGAUUUACUGCUGAAUCCAGCCCCUCUAUGGACCAGCCUCCAAGUCACAUGGACCGUAAGGAAUGGUUUGAGACCAUCCCAAGAAAUAUUUGGGCAGCUCAAGAGAUGCAGAAACUGUUGCCCAUCCCCAUGUUUCAAGAACAAACAAGUAAAAGCUAAACCAGGGCCAAGCGCUCUGAGACUCGCUCCCCGCCACCCAGCCCUAGCCCAGUGUCCCCUGGACAGGGCUCAUGCCCUGCUGAGCCCCUGAUGCUGAAGUCAGGGGAGAAGGAGCCCGCCUCAUUGGCAGGGGUCAUUCCUCACUGUUCAGGCAGUAAACUAAGCCUUCUUGUCAUUUAUGGCUAUUUUGUCACCUUUACCAUUGUCAUCAGUGGCUGGCAAGAAUAUCCACGUCUCCAUGGAAAAGUGAAACUAGAAGGCAUCUAGGAAAAAAAAAAAAAAGACACAAGGAAGAAAGAAGUGGAGCCCCUCUUCUUCCACUUAGUGAUGUGAUGUCUGCAUAGGAGGGGAGGAACUGUACAGCCAUCCUGGAACCAUGAGGACACAGCCCAUGGACAGCAUGGAAAGAGAAACGAGCUUCAGAGUUGCCCUCCGUGUGGCUUUCUUGCUAUGUGAAAUGAUGCAUUUUCCUUCAUUGUUAAGCUAACUGCAUUGCAUUCUCCAUUACUUGCAGCCAAAAGCAUUCCCACUGAGACAUGCCUGUCCUUUUGUUUUUCCCUCCUAUGGUGUAGGGUUUUGCAUAACUAUUUACGUUCAGGCAAUAAACACAAAACCAUGAACAUUGACCUUCAUGUGGAAUUUAAGGAUUGCUAAACUUUUUUCUGUACCUAGAUUUCUCCUGUGUUGAUUUUGGAAUCCAACUCCUGGGGCAGGCGCUGAGGCACCCUGAGGAAAGGGCUGUGAUUGUCCAGUGCCAAAAGUGACCCACAAAGCAAAGUGUCUCCAAAGGACAGAGACCACAAUUGACUCAUUCUCAUUCAUACCCUUGAACCCAAGUACAGCAUCUGGAACACAGCAGGAGCUCAAUAAAUAAGUGUUGUAUGAAUGGAUGGAUAGAACAAGAAAAGUCCAGGCCCUUUCAUUCAUUGUAUUAUAAGCUUGCAAGCUUAAUUAGUACAAUUAAAAUACAUAAGCAAUAUCUUAGUUUCUUUAAUAAUUCCCCUUAAUUUACACGCUCUCUUUAUUUGAGUAAGUUCCCCAGGUGUUUGAAGAAUGUUAUUAGAAUUGGACAGUCCCUGUGUUGGAGACAGGGCCAUUGAAGCUGGUAUUUCUUCUCCCUUCCCUUCCUUCCUCCCUUCCUUUCUUUUUUUUUUUCUCCAAGAUGGGGUCUUGUUCUGUCCCCAGGGUGGAGUGCUGUUGCAUGAUCAUGGCUCACUGCAGCCUCAACCUCCUAGGCUUAAGCGAUCCUCCUGCCUCAGCCUCCUAAGUAGCUGGGACACACCAC